rnacentral:piRNA from 1 species
UGGGAAGCCCUUCACAUUGUGCUCCUGAU